GUGCUUGCUUUAGCAGCACAUAUAUUAAAAAAUGGAAUGAUACAGAGAAGAUUAGCAUGGCCCCUGAGCAAGGAUGACAUCCAAAUUCGCAAAGUGUUCCAUAUUUUU
rnacentral:snRNA from 1 species